rnacentral:ncRNA from 1 species
AAAUAAAUUUUUUAUGGUUUAUAUAAUUUAUUUUGAAUUUGUUUUACAUAUAAAUUUUAGUGUUAAUUAUUAAUUAUUUAGAUAAUAAUUAAUUUUUUGGUAGUAAUUAAUUUUAAAAAUUUAAGAAAUUAAGAUUUAGUAAUAUUAGAAUUAAUAACUAAUUUUGUGCCAGCAGUUGCGGUUACACAAAAAUUGAUUUAAAUUUUUUUUGUAAUUAAUAAAUAAUUUUUAAUAUAAUUUAAAAUUUAAAUUAUAAGGUGAAAUUUUAAUUUAAUAAAAAAUUAUUAUAAAAUUAUGAAUUAAUAAAUUUAAUUAAAAACUAGGAUUAGAUACCCUAUUAUGAAAAAUUUAAAUUAAUAAUACUUAAAUAGUAGGUAAUUAUUUAUUGAAACUUAAAUGAUUUGGCGGUAUUUUAGUUUAUUUAGAGGAAUCUGUUUAAUAAUUGAUAAUCCACGAAUGAAUUUACUUAAUUUAUUAAUUUUGUAUAUCGUUGUUAAAAAAAUAUUUUUUAAUAAAAAUAAUAUUUAAAAAUUUAAAAUUAAAAAUUAAAUCAGAUCAAGAUGCAGAUUAUAAUUAAGAAUAUAAUGGAUUACAAUAAAUUUAUUUAAAUUGGAUUUUAAUUUGGAAUAAUUAAAUAAAAUUGGAUUUAAAUGUAAUUUUAUUUAAAUUAUUAAAAUGAUUUAAAAUUGAAAUAUGUACAUAUUGCCCGUCGCUUUCAUUAAUAAAUUGAAAUAAGUCGUAACAAAGUAGAGGUACUGGAAAGUGUUUCUAGAAAGAU